GUUUGGUUUUGGUUGUGAAUUCGAACCUUGAUCCUUUCUAGUGUUGAUUCAGGUGGUUCUUUCUGGGAAGCAGAGACUGGUAUUUUGGUCCCGGCCACCACAGCUCUGUUGGAUCGAUCUCUUCUUCGUAUCAGUGAUCGUCUCCGGUGAUUGAAGGGUGCAGAGAGGAUGCGAUGUGCUUAUUUUAGAUACUGGAUUGGGAAGUGCAGAGAAUCAAGCAAGGGUCAAGGAGUUGCUUCAUGUGGAGGAAUCAAAACUAGAGGAGGAUGAGGGAAAUACCACUCCAGCAGUGAGAUGGGUUCGAGAUGAUAAAUAUGAUUGCAUCCGAUUAAAGCAUUGCAAGGUUGUGACAAAAAUUGAUUGGCAUCGGAAAGGAGACUAUUUCACUACUGUCGUUCCUAGUGAUAUCCUAAUUAUGAAUUUUAGUUGUACUUAUUUUUAGUCAUUCCUAGUGCCUAUUUUAUAUCUCAGUUUUGUUUCUUUCUUUUUUCUAAUACACACUGACAAAUUGGAAAUAUAUAAAAAUCAUGACAUUAUACCUAGUUACCUAGCCUUUGAGGCUGGAAUUAGGAUGAAACCUAAAGUGCCCUGAAAAGUUUAGGCAUACCAAAUUCUCUCAGUUUAAUGACAGAGGUCAGUUGUGUUGCAAACUUUGUUGUUUUCCUUGUUUUUCAUUUACCGCGUCUAGAUUAAGAAACUAUGGCUUUCUAACUCAAAUAAAAAUUGCAAUUCCUGCCUAUCUUAGACCUAACAUUAACUUAUUAAUUGAACAGGUGUUUUAGAUUGUAAAUUUCAUCCGAGGCAGCCAUGGCUAUUCACAGCUGGAGCAGAUUCUGUCAUUAAACUGUAUUGCCACUAAUGAUAGAUUCUCCAGGAAACUUUGAAGAAUCUCCUCGAGUCAAGAUACAUGAGUACUUGCUGAUCCUACAUGAAUACGGUAGCAAGUUCAUGUUCUUUGCUUGAUAAUUUAUUCUUUUUUGACCAAUUCAUUUCCGCAAACCCCUUACCUGUAAGCACCAACUAGUAUCCUUAUUGUCAAGAAUUAAUUUUAUCAACGACUUAUAAGUUUGGUAUGCAUAUUUCUUAUGAUGUUGAACCUUGACUUUGAGACA